UACGUAGGGUGCAAGCGUUAAUCGGAAUUACUGGGCGUAAAACGUGCGCAGGCGGUUGUGCAAGACAGAUGUGAAAUCCCCGGGCUCAACCUGGGAACUGCAUUUGUGACUGCACGGCUGGAGUGCGGCAGAGGGGGAUGGAAUUCCGCGUGUAGCAGUGAAAUGCGUAGAUAUGCGGAGGAACACCGAUGGCGAAGGCAAUCCCCUGGGCCUGCACUGACGCUCAUGCACGAAAGCGUGGGGAGCAAACAGG
rnacentral:rRNA from 1 species